UGCCCAGACUCCUACGGGAGGCAGCAGUGGGGGAUAUUGCACAAUGGGGGGAACCCUGAUGCAGCGACGCCGCGUGGGUGAAGAAGCGCCUCGGCGCGUAAAGCCCUGUCAGCAGGGAAGAAAAUGACGGUACCUGAAGAAGAAGCCCCGGCUAACUACGUGCCAGCAGCCGCGGUAAUACGUAGGUGGCGAGCGUUGUCCGGAAUUACUGGGUGUAAAGGGAGCGUAGGCGGGAUAUUAAGUUGAAUGUAUAAGCUAUCAGCUCAACUGAUAGAAGCGUUCAAAACUGAUAUUCUUGAGUGAAGUAGAGGCAGGCGGAAUUCCUAGUGUAGCGGUGAAAUGCGUAGAUAUUAGGAGGAACACCGGUGGCGAAGGCGGCCUGCUGGGCUUUAACUGACGCUGAGGCUCGAAAGCGUGGGUAGCAAACAGGAUUAGAUACCCGUGUA
rnacentral:rRNA from 1 species